CUGCCAGGGAGCACACACGCUACUUUUAGUGACGCAAUCAAGAAGUGGCUUAAGUAUGCGCCAGAGAGAGAGGGAGGGAUGAGGAGACGUGAGGUGUCUGCGCCGCAGGAGGAAUAUAGGCCACAAUUAUAAAUAAAUCAUAAAAUGUUUCUAAGAA